UACAGGUGGGGCAAACGAUAUCUCGCUUCGACCGGUGUAAAAGGUAUGUAGGUAUGCUAGAUCUCAUAAUAGGUAAAUUUUUAUUGAUUAGUAAAAACAUAUAUUUGAUGACUAGUGAGUAAUUUGAUGGAAAUUUAAAGAAUUUCGAGGCUAACCGUAAAAUGUAGUAACCCUUGAAGGAAUGCCGAAUGUGUAAACAUUUCUUUUUUGUAAAAUUUGAGCUAAAAUACGAAAACAUGGGUAGCGAACCGG
rnacentral:rRNA from 1 species